GAGGGUAUAGCUCUAGUGGUAAAAGUGUGUGCUUAGCGUGCACAAGGUCCUGAGUUCAAUCCCUGGUACCUCCA
rnacentral:tRNA from 1 species